rnacentral:rRNA from 1 species
GACGAACGCUGGCGGCGUGCCUAAUACAUGCAAGUCGAGCGGACAGAAGGGAGCUUGCUCCCGGAAGUUAGCGGCGGACGGGUGAGUAACACGUGGGCAACCUACCCUGUAGAUCGGGAUAACAUCGAGAAAUCGGUGCUAAUACCGGAUAAUCAUUUGAAGUGCAUGAUUCGAAUGUAAAAGAUGGCUCCGGCUAUCACGAAGGGACGGGCCCGCGGCGCAUUAGCAAGUUGGUAAGGUAAUGUCUUCCCACGGCAACGAUGCGUAGACGACCUGAGAGGGUGAUCGGCCACACUGGGACUGAGACACGGCCCAGACUCCUACGGGAGGCAGCAGUAGGGAAUCUUCCGCAAUGGACGAAAGUCUGACGGAGCAACGCCGCGUGAGUGAUGAAGGUUUUCGGAUCGUAAAGCUCUGUUGUUAGGGAAGAACAAGUGCCGUUUGAAUAAGGCGGCACCUUGACGGUACCUAACCAGAAAGCCACGGCUAACUACGUGCCAGCCGCCGCAGUAACAC